rnacentral:rRNA from 1 species
UGAGGAAUAUUGGUCAAUGGGAGCAAUCCUGAACCAGCAAUGCCGCGUGCGGGAUGAAGGGGCUUUGCCUUGUAAACCGCUGUCAGAGGGGACGAAAGGCGAUUUAGGAUCGCGAGGACGGUACCCUUGGAGGAAGGAUCGGCUAACUACGUGCCAGCAGCCGCGGUAAUACGUAGGAUCCGAGCGUUGUCCGGAGUUACUGGGUGUAAAGGGUGCGCAGGCUGCUCUGUGCGUCAGGGGUGAAAUCCACGGGCUCAACUCGUGGGGUGCCUUUGAUACGGCGGAGCUGGAGUGCAGGAGAGGCAGAUGGAAUUCCUGGUGUAGCAGUGAAAUGCGUAGAUAUCAGGAGGAACACCGGUGGCGAAGGCGGUCUGCUGGCCUGUAACUGACGCUGAGGCAC